CUGUUUAAGUGUUCCUACCAAGAGAGCAGUGUUGAGCCCCUAGUGCCUUCUGUUUCAGCAUCAGGGAAGAGCCAAGAGGAGGAAAGGUGGGACUCUGAAAGGGUGGAAAACUUGCCAGAGAGAAGUAGGGGGAGCCAAGAAAGAUGCUUUCUCUUCUGUAAAGCCCACUAGGCCGGCGUCAUGAUACCAUCCACUUUCAUCAACUAUUAUGUCCAGAUCCCUUCUGUGAUGUAUGUAACAGCACAACUGCUGAGGUGAAUCGGCUGCUGUUCCAGAGGUCCUGGAAGAUGCUACUCCCUCUGUGAUCCCCUUGGUUUCUACAGCUUCUGUGACUGACUCCUCAUUCACUUUGUCUCCCGACUUCUCUGCAGUUGCUCCAGGAGACCUAAUACCAGCCUCUUUGCCUGAGCCUUCCCCCCAAUCCCCUCCAUCUUCUAACCUAAACCACCUAACCUUAGGU